rnacentral:rRNA from 1 species
CUUGACAUCCAGCGAACUUGGCAGAGAUGCCUUGGUGCCUUCGGGAACGCUGAGACAGGUGCUGCAUGGCUGUCGUCAGCUCGUGUUGUGAAAUGUUGGGUUAACGUCCGCAACGAGCGCAACCCUUAUCCUUUGUUGCCAGCGAUUCGGUCGGGAACUCAAAGGAGACUGCCGGUGAUAAACCGGAGGAAGGUGGGGAUGACGUCAAGUCAUCAUGGCCCUUACGAGUAGGGCUACACACGUGCUACAAUGGCGCAUACAAGAGAAGCGACCUCGCGAGAGCAAGCGGACCUCAUAAAGUGCGUCGUAGUCCGGAUCGGAGUCUGCAACUCGACUCCGUGAAGUCGGAAUCGCUAGUAAUCGUGGAUCAGAAUGCCACGGUGAAUACGGUUCCCGGGCCUUGUACACACCGCCCGUCACACCAUGGGAGUGGGUUGCAAAAGAAGUAGGUAGCUUAACCCUCGGGAGGGCGCUUACCACUUUGUGAUUCAUGACUGGGGUGAAGUCGUAACAAGGUAGGCGUACGUGU